AGCGAACGUUUGCGGCGGGCUUAACACAUGCAAGUCGAACGGGCUGUUCCUUCGGGGGCAAUCAGUGGCGCACGGGUGCGUAACACGUAGGUAAUCAACCCUCUGGUUGGGGAUAACACUUCGAAAGGAGUGCUAAUACCCGGUAUGGCGCAGCGGUCUUCGGAUCGCGGCGAGAAAGACCCGCAAGGGUUGCCAGAGGACGAGCCUGCGGCCCAUCAGCUAGUUGGCGAGGUAACGGCUCACCAAGGCGAAGACGGGUAGCUGGUCUGAGAGGAUGAUCAGCCACACUGGGACUGAGACACGGCCCAGACUCCUACGGGAGGCAGCAGUGGGGAAUAUUGGACAAUGGGCGAAAGCCUGAUCCAGCCACGCCGCGUGAGUGAUGAAGGCCUCGG
rnacentral:rRNA from 1 species